CCAACCCAACUCAUAUAUACAAAUCCAAUAUCACAACCCAUUUACCCAAAUUUCCAAAAUCAAAAUUUGAAAUACGAAUUAUACGAUUUAGGGAUGCUCUUCUCGACGUGCUGCGGUGCUCUCCUAUGUCUUCUCUGUUUGUUCAUCAUCGUCCGGUCACUCGACUCACUCCACAAUCUCCACAGGUCCACCUCCGCCCAGACCCUUCACCGGCCGCUUGAAAUUUGAAUCUUCAAUUCUUCAUAAGUCGGUUGAAGUCGAACACUCGAACUUCGAACUCGAAGUGUAAGUCGUGUGACUCUGCAGUAGCGCCUGCAGCCUACUCCACUGGACCGCUGCUUGUCGUCGCCCGUUGAGGACCUAUCACCUGCUGUAUAGUCUGUUUGGGGCCGCACAAUUUAGAUAAAAUUUCUUAUUUUAAACUUUAAAGCGGUAGGGGCGGAGGCCGGACCGGAGAGGCGGGAGAGCUUUCAACUUUGUUGGGACUUAGUUCCUGGCUCCUGCAGUCUGCAGGUUAGAAUUUAGCCUUCUUGUAUGUGUAAUCCAUUGGGCAAUUUAUGUUUGUUACUUGUUAGUUUGUAUUAUAGGUAACUCAAUAUUUAUCCAGUAGUAAGGGGUGAAGCCCAGCGCCCUAAAAUUGAAUGAGUCCCAGUGUCCCACCAAAAUGCUAGCUGCCAUUGCUUCAAAAUUCUAGACUAAUCUGAGCAAUUCCAAUUUGAUAUAUCAUUAUUAUCAUCGUUCGAAUAUCCUCAGGGCUUCACCACUGCUCCAUAUGUGGCCAAAAAUUUCCAUGUUUUUGGGCCAUUAUGAAUGCACCUGAAGCUAUUAUUAAAUUUUUUAAAAUUGCAAUCGGCUUACUCCUAGUUCAGAAAAUGGUAUCAUUCUCAAUGGUGUAAUUCCACAAUCUUCAUCUAAAUUCCAUUUCUCUAGUAAGUAAUGGUUUGCACUAACUUGUUAUUGAAGAGAUUGGAAUUAUUUGAAGCCUUAUCAGCUUAUAUAAUUGCAGCCUAGUCGGUUCAUAUGAUUGCUUAUUGUACGAUGAACAAUUGAACAGGCGCACGUAGUAACUAUAUUCGAAACUAUAAUUGUGAGA